AUUGAACGCUGGCGGCAGGCCUAACACAUGCAAGUCGAGCGGCAGCGGGAAGUAGCUUGCUACUUUGCCGGCGAGCGGCGGACGGGUGAGUAAUGUCUGGGAAACUGCCUGAUGGAGGGGGAUAACUACUGGAGACGGUAGCUAAUACCGCAUAACGUCGCAAGACCAAAGAGGGGGACCUUCGGGCCUCUUGCCAUCAGAUGUGCCCAGAUGGGAUUAGCUGGCAGGUAGGGUAAUGGCCUACCUGGGCGACGAUCCCUAGCUGGUCUGAGAGGAUGACCAGCGAAACGGGAACUGAGACACGGUCCAGACUCCUACGGGAGGCAGCAGUGGGGAAUAUUGCACAAUGGGCGCAAGCCUGAUCCAGCCAUUCCGCGUGCAGGAUGAAGGCCCUCGGGUUGUAAACUGCUUUUGUACAGAACGAAAAGGUUUCUACUAAUACUAGGAGCUCAUGACGGUACUGUAAGAAUAAGCACCGGCUAACUACGUGCCAGCCGCCGCGGUAA
rnacentral:rRNA from 1 species